UGGCAUCGAAAAGGGACGGGGUUUCUUACUAGAUUGAUCCGUAUAAUUUUGAUGCGAAAGAAUAGAGAGUCGCAGUGUUACUCUUCUUUACACUACCUGUAUCUGGAGAGUGUCAAGCGGUUCCCACAUUU
rnacentral:snoRNA from 1 species